GUAGAUCUCGAGAGGUACGCCAAGUGCGAAGGCUAGCUUCUAGGACUCAACUGACGCUAAGGGACGAAAGCUUGGGUAGCAAAAGGGAUUAGAGACCCCUGUAGUCCAAGCCGUANACACUCCUUGCUAGUUGUUCCUGGUNUCGACCGGGAGUGACGUAGUAUACGCGAUAAGCAACGCGCCUGGGGAGUACAACCGCAAGGUUUAUACUCAAACGUAUUGGCGGGGGAGCGAACAACCGGUGGAGCAUGUGGUUUAAUUCGAUACAAAGCGAACAACGUUACCUGGGCUUGACAUCUAGCUGCUACGCCUGAGAUAUCAGGAAGCCUUCGAGGGUGCUAGACAGGUGAUGCAUGGCUGUCGUCAGCUCGUGNUGUGAAACGUCCGCUUAAGUGCGGUAACGAGCGAAACCCUUANUGUAUGUUAUACGUAUCAUACAACACCGCCCCGCCUCAGCGGGGAGGAAGGAGACGACGACGUCAAGUCAGCAUGUCCCUACGUCANNGGGCUACACACAUCNUACAAUGGGGAAGACACGGAGUCGCGACGGAGCGAUCNUGAGCCAAUCUNAAUAACUUCCCCUCAGUUCAGAU
rnacentral:rRNA from 1 species